rnacentral:rRNA from 1 species
UACGAAGGGGGCUAGCGUUGUUCGGAAUUAUUGGGCGUAAAGAGCUCGUAGGCGGUUCGUCACGUCGGCUGUGAAAACCCGAGGCUCAACCUCGGGCCUGCAGUGGGGUACGGGCAGACUAGAGUGCGGGUAGGGGAGAUUGGAAUUCCUGGUGUAGCGGUGGAAUGCGCAGAUAUCAGGAGGAACACCAAUGGCGAAGGCAGAUCUCUGGGCCGUAACUGACGCUGAGGAGCGAAAGCAUGGGGAGCGAACAGG